GAAAUGCGAUAAGUAAUGUGAAUUGCAGAACUCAGUGAAUCAUCGAAUCUUUGAACGCACAUUGCGCCCAUUAGUAUUCUAAUGGGCAUGCCUGUUCGAGCGUCAUUUCAACCCUCAAGCCUUAGUUGCUUGGUGUUGGGAGCUUAUCCUGCCGCAAGGCGGGACAACUCCUCAAAGUCAUUGGCGGAGUCGCGGCGACCCCAAGCGCAGUAAUUCUUUUUCUCGCUUUAGGUGUUAACGCUGGCUUCUAGCCGUUAAACCCCCCUAUUUUUUAAUGGUUGACCUCGGAUCAGGUAGGACUACCCGCUGAACUUAA
rnacentral:misc_RNA from 1 species